GACGAACGCUGGCGGCGUGCUUAACACAUGCAAGUCGAGCGAUGAAGUUUCUUCGGAAAUGGAUUAGCGGCGGACGGGUGAGUAACACGUGGGUAACCUGCCUCAUAGAGGGGAAUAGCCUUCCGAAAGGAAGAUUAAUACCGCAUAAGAUUGUAGUGCCGCAUGGCAUAGCAAUUAAAGGAGUAAUCCGCUAUGAGAUGGACCCGCGUCGCAUUAGCUAGUUGGUGAGGUAACGGCUCACCAAGGCGACGAUGCGUAGCCGACCUGAGAGGGUGAUCGGCCACAUUGGGACUGAGACACGGCCCAGACUCCUACGGGAGGCAGCAGUGGGGAAUAUUGCACAAUGGGGGAAACCCUGAUGCAGCAACGCCGCGUGAGUGAUGACGGUCUUCGGAUUGUAAAGCUCUGUCUUCAGGGACGAUAAUGACGGUACCUGAGGAGGAAGCCACGGCUAACUACGUGCCAGCCGCCGCUGUAACAC
rnacentral:rRNA from 1 species